rnacentral:tRNA from 3 species
GGCAGAGUAGCUCAGUUGGUUAGAGCACCGGCUUCAUAAGCCGGGUGUCGGCGGUUCAAGUCCGCCCUCUGCUACAA